AUGGCACAAACACCGAUGGACACCAUCAUAUUUUCCGCCAUUGUCUUCAUCUUGCUUUUCGUGACCACGACGGCUCAAGCCAGUGGAUCUGGUGGUGCCAAGCCCAAGGCGACUGACCUCAUGAUAGAAGCGUGCAAGAACGCCACAUUAAACAACGCAUAUGCGGAUCCUGUCAAAGAGGAAUUCUGUUUGACGACCCUCCAGUCAGACAAUCGAAGCACUAAGGCUAAGGACCUCCGCGACUUGCUGCAAGUCACCGUCGACAUCCUUAGGGGUCGAGUCACUACUACCAGCAGCAAGGUCAAAAAAAUGUUGGAAAACACCAAGAAGGGCACGGUGCCAAUGCGCGUCCUCGGUUUGUGUGAGGUGGAUUAUGACACCAUGGUGAGCGUCAUCAACAUAUGUGAUGCCAUUAUCAGGGAUUACCAACGUGACGAGGGCAGGCAAUGGUCCAAAGAGCUACUCCUUUGGAUGGAUAUGGCACGUGAUCAUGUCAACGAGUGCAUCUCCGAGCUUGUUGACAUGCCUGCGGUGGGGGUUCUUGUCAAUGCAAACAAUGAAUUGGGCAUGCUGGUUAAACUGAACGCCGCCUUGGUAGCAGCUCGUAUGUUUCCCGAGUAA
rnacentral:rRNA from 1 species